rnacentral:rRNA from 1 species
GAAUCCUCUAAUCGGGAUUGAUCGGUGCAGCGUGUAUAUGUUCAUCACACGGCCAUAUCUAUAUAUUAGUUCAAGUCUUAUUGACUUAAGCAUCUGAUGUGUGCUCUCGCAGUAUAUAUCAGCCUUAGAGGGUGCAAGCCCCGUAGAGCUAAUAGCAAUAGGUGCGGCCAGAUGUUCAUACAAGAGUCGAGUUGCUUGAAAGUGCAACUUCAAUAUGCGAGGUAGACCACUCGUAAGGCUAAAUAUUAGACUACGAUACCGAUAGCGAACAAGUACCGUGAGGGAAAGUUGAAAAGUACUUUGAAGAGAGAGUUAAAUAGGGCGUGAAACCGUUAGCUGGUAAACGUACAGAGCCACGAAGUUAUUGGAUAUAGGUUUCAGCUUGUGCUCUGUGUGUGUAACAACAUACACGAGCUCAAGUGUAUUAUCUAUAUUCAUGACACUGCUAACAAUUAGACAAGCGAGAGCGUAUGACAUGCAUUAAUGGACUCUAAUCAAGUUGUUAUGCACGGUACUCACUCCCUAUACUGAUUGUUUUGUAUAUAUCAUCCGAUCGUGUGAUGGUGUUUAUGGAAGGAUGGAUGCCUAGUCAUGUCAAUUCUAUACUAUGUUUAUAGACUGUAUAAUAAUGCUAGCUGAUGUAAAAAGUUGGCUUGUAUGAUUUGCCGACUAUAAUAUGGUGUAUCAGGUUGAUUGAAGAGCGCCAUCUCAAAGCCAGCAGUGAGUAGGUCGGCUUUCUGUACGACCC